rnacentral:ncRNA from 2 species
GGCAGAGUAGAUUGUUGUGGGUUACGUGCCCGGGGGACGGGGAGUUGUCCCUGGGACGAAAAACGGCGCUGGCGCCGUUUGCCGUGCAAGAAUCGCAUCCCGCUGCC